rnacentral:rRNA from 1 species
GACGAACGCUGGCGGCGUGCUUAACACAUGCAAGUCGAACGGAAAGGCCCUGCGUUUGUGGGUUGCUCGAGUGGCGAACGCGUGAGUAACACGUGAGUAUCCUGCCCUUGACUUUGGGAUAACUUCACGAAACUCGGGCUAAUACCGGAUAGGAGCUCCUGCUCCAUGGUGGUGGUUGGAAAGUUUCGGCGGUUGGGGAUGGUCUCGCGGCUUAUCAGCUUGUUGGUGUGGUAGUGGCUUACCAAGGGUUUGACGGGUAGCCCGCCUGAGAGGGUGACCGGCCACCAUGGGACUGAGAGACGGCGCAGAAUCCUACGGGCGGCAGCAGUGGGGAAUCUUGCAGAAUGGGCGGAAGCCUGAUGCAGCAACGCCGCGUGCGGGAUGACGGCCUUCGGGGUGUAAACCGCUUUCGCCGGUGACGAAGCGUGAGUGACGGUAAUGGGUAAAGAAGCACCGGCUAACUACGUG